UCCUCCUGUGGGCUCAGGGAAAGUUCCUCUCACUCAGAGCAGUCUACAUCACUGGGUAUCUCAAUCAGGAAGCAGACAUCCGUGAGCUCUUCUGGAAGGAAGAGUUUGUCCAGGUGGAAGUAGAUCUAUUUGUGUUGCAGGGAAUGACACACUGUCUGCUCUGGUUCACCCUCAAACAUCCUUCUUUGCUUCGGCUGGAUGCCAUGGUGCAAACGUGGCCAAGGCUUUGUCUGUACACUUUCCCCUGAUUGCUCUGCUCCCGGGAGUUCUGGAGAGAGUACUCCAGGACAGGGUCUGUUCUUUGCUAGUAGCCCAACACUGGCUGGCCCGAGUAUGGUUUUCGGACCUGGUGUGCCUCCUCGAAGGCUUUCCGCUGAAGACUCCGAUCAGGAGGGACCUCCUCUCUCAGGCAAGGGGCAUCAUCCUUCAUCCCUGCCUUGGAAGUUGUGGAAGCUGUGGCCGUGGUCCCUGGUCUCUGAGACAACUGAAGUUGUUGAGACCAUAAAACUCCUGUUCAGAGUACACACAACAAGGAACCAGUACUCCUUGAAGUGGAAACUUUUCACUUCCUGGUGCAGACAGCAAUUGCAGGACCCAGUCAACUGCCCAGUUGGUACAGUUCUGGAGUUUGUGCAGGGUUAUCUCCCUCCACUCUAAAGGUAUACACGAUGGCCUUAGCUUCUUACCACGGCCUUCUGGGUAGUCACUUGUUCCACUUGUCAGUGUUUCCUCCAUGGCAUCCUGAGGCUGAGACGAGUACAGUGCACAAAAGUGCCAUCCUGGAGGGUUUGUGUAAUAUCUCCUUUGAACCCAUAGAGGAAAGUUUCAGACAAAUUCAGAUUCUCUCUCCUCACGAUUUCCUCAUUGAAAAGGAUCACGGAUCUUCAGGCACUUUCAGUAUCAGGCCUGGAGUUUGCUCCGGGCAUGGUUAGGACAUUCCUUUACCUGAGGGUCUGGUAUGUCCCUAAGGUGCCUACUUCUAGGCCAGGGCCUUUUGUACUACAGGCAUUUUGUCCUCCUCCGUUAAAGGCUUAAUCUGCUCUGUCCAGUACGUGCACUGGAUGCUUACACACACAGCCCCAUAGCGUAAGGCAGAUCAGCUGUUUGUUUACUUUAUUUGUUCUGCCCAAGAAAGUUCUCUGGCAUCCUGUCACCUAUGUGGGUCAGAGCACACUCGACCAGGAGUAUGACGGCCUUUAAUUUUGGGCGUGGCACUGCAGGACAUUUUGUGGUCCACUCUGCACACAUUUGUCUGCUUUGAUAAACUGGUCGUGGCCUCUACCCCAGGAUCCCAAGUCCUCUUGUACUGAUGUGCUCAUGAAUACACACACAGGAAGAAUCUUGAUAGUAUGGUGCAGUGGCUAUUCUCGCCCCCAAAGUAUUUCUUGAUGGAGUUUGAGUUCCUGAAGGGGAACAUCCCUAGGUUACAUAUUUAACCAUGGUAAAUGAGGCAUCUGCAUCCCUGUGGGAGCUAAUAAAUUUAAGGUAGUUUGCGCUCUGCCGGAUGCCCUUUUAUGCUUCCUUGUGACAACUCGCUUCUAUAUUGAAUCUUAGCUUAGCAUCUUGUUCCCUCAGAGGACCAUGGUAACAUAUGUAAUCUAGGGAUUUUCCUGCAGGUUACUGGGUGAAGUGUGGCACUAAUGAGUUUUGAUUUCUGUUUUCUGUAGGGUUUGCAGUUUCUCUCAGCAUCUCCUGAAUCUAAAGAUGUUAAUGACGAUCCCUACAUUUCUCUCUUUUCUGAUGGUCUGAGAAAAUUUGUCCAUCAGCUAAGAGACAAACUGGAUGAUUUCAGUAAAGAGCAGCUCAAGAAGAUCUCAGACAGAGCCACAUUCACCAACAUUGUUCUCUGGAUGAGGAACGACUUUCUAAAAUAUUCCAAACAGCUCACUCUGGAUCUGAACACAGUGAAUAAUCACCUCUAUCUGUCUGAGAACAACAGAGUGAUUACUAACAUUACCACAGUACAGUCGUAUCCCGAUCAUCCAGACAGAUUUGAUGGAUUGAAUCCUCAGGUUUUAUAUAGAGAGAGUGUUUGUGGACGCUGUUACUGGGAGCUGCAGUGGAGUGGAGAAAUUGGUGUGUCUAUAUCAGUGUCAUACAAGAGCAUCAGCAGGAAGGGAUCUACUAAUGAGUGUUGGUUUGGAUUUAAUGAUCGGUCCUGGAGUUUUAUCUGUCGUCCCUCCAGUUACUCAUUCAGACAUAAUUACAUAAAGACUGUUCUUCCUGUGAAAUCCAUCAGUAGGAAAAUAGGAGUGUUUGUGGAUCACAGUGCAGGAACUCUUUCCUUCUAUAGCAUCUCUGACAUAAUGAGCCUCAUCUACACAGUCCAGACCACAUUCACUCAGCCACUCUACCCUGGGUUUUUGGUUUCUAGGGGAUCAUCAGUGAAACUAUGUUGACGAAUCAGAAUAGACCGAUGAGAGGUUCUACCCAUUAUGCUUUGAGUAGUAUGAUAAAUCAUUAACAGUGAGAUGUCACAGAGUCUCUUCGCUUCAUAACAUUAACAAUGCAGCUGAACCUCUGUCCCUGAAAUAACAUGUCAGAAUAAAUGUGUAAUAAAUCCUCAUAUAGACAGUAAGAUCAGUGUGUGUGAGACAAUGAGUGACCAUGUGUUUCUGUGCUUUUCUCAACCUCUUUUUCUGUUUAUUUAAUUUUAAUGUAGUGUCACAUCAAUCAUUUAUAUUAUUACUAUCAUACUUACCUUUCAAUUAAAAUGAACAGUCAAUAAAUCAUUUUCAUUAUUCA